CUUGAGAGACGGAUAGUCGCGGAGGCGUAGCUCGAUUUUUUAUUUAUUUUUUAUGAGCGCACCGAUGAGGAAAGUCCGGACACCACAGGACACAGUGAUGGAUAACGUCCACCGGUCGUGAGGCCAGGGAAAGUGCAACAGAAAAGAAACCGCCAUAUUUCAGAGUGUUUUUUAUUAUGCUCUGGUUUGUGGUAAGGGUGAAAUGGCGAGGUAAGAGCUCACCGCGACGCAAGUGAUUGGGUCGGCAAGGUAAACCCCACUGGGUGCAAUGCUAAACAGGAAGGAGUAAGUUGGGCCCUUGUGUCCACUUCCCGUAUCUGUCCGGUACGGAGACUUUCGGGUAGGCAGCUUGAGGCUCGUAGUAAUGCGCGUCCUAGAUAAAUGACUAUCGUUCGGGGAAACCCGUCCACAUAAUCCGGCUUAUAGUCUCUCCAGCUCC
rnacentral:RNase_P_RNA from 1 species